rnacentral:misc_RNA from 1 species
GCCGACACUUAAUGAGAAUCAUAUUAUUGCAUAAAUUAAAACAAAAAAUCCAAAAAGAUCCCACCAUUACCAAGGAUCCAUAUUAAAAUGGCAGGAUGGAACAAAGAAUUUGCAAUUGAUAAAUUACAGGAAAAGCCCGAGAAACAGAAAACUUAUUUCUAUGUACAUAGCCAAGUCACACUUCUCACACCAAGACAAACAUUUUAUGCCCUCCAUAAACAGAGAAACAUUCAGCAGCUUGACUCGCAUUGAAUAACUGACUUUUACACUUGAGAAAAGGAAAGGACAAAAGAACCAAACACGUUGCCAUCUCCCUGCCUAAACAUAUUCUACAGAUCUCGAUCCUGUUCCCUCACAUAACUAUCUCUGGCUUCAAAAUGCUUGAUUUGAUCUCUUUGUGAGGCAAAACCACACCCCCAUUGCUGUAAAUUUCAUCGCAUACAUGCACAUCUUCUCCAAGGAUUGUCAUGUUUUCCACACGAGCCCAUUGGCCAACAGUGGAGUGCCACCCUAUGAUGCUGCUAGAAAUGCAAGCGUGCUUCUUGAUGCGAACUCCACGCAUCACGGUGCAGCGAGAGAGUCUAACUCCUGACUCAACAACACAGCCUGGACCUAUUGCAACAUCAGGUCCAAUCAAGCAUCCGUCUCCAAUCUUGGCAGUCUCAUCCACCAAAACAUUUCCCACAACAUGCGGGCCAGUGGCUAACCUAGAUGAGGAUUUCUUUCGCAAGGAAUCUAGAUAGAGUCUCAGACCAGUAAUGUAAUCUCUUGGCUGUCCAAUGUCCAUCCAAAAGCCUGGGAGGACCAUUCCAUAGAGCUGUUUAUCUGCUGCAAUUUUUGGGAAGACCUCUUUCUCAAUUGAGGUGGGUCUAAGUUCAAUUCGAUUAAGAACAGAUGGGUUCAAGAGAUAAAUUCCAGCAUUGAUUUUGUUUCCAACAAAUAUUUUUGGUUUUUCCACAAAUCGCUCAACCUUCCCUGUGGAUUCUUCCAUAACCACCACACCAUAUUUUGAUGGCUCAUCCACCUAUUAUGUAAGGUCAAAUGAUUUCAAUCAAUUGACAAUUGCCUUUUAGAUUCAAAGCAUCACUAGGGAAGAAUUUACUAAGUUAUAUACUAAUUAGUUGAGUGGAAUUGUUACCUUCGUCACCAUUAUGGAAGCCUCUCCUCCAUGGGCUUUGUGGAACUCUAUUAUUUCUUUGAGUGGGUACUCACUGAUGACAUCACUGUUGAGAACAAAAAAUGGUUCACCAGAAUCAUCAAUCAAUUUGUCCCUAGCCAGAGCCAGAGGACCAGCAGUGCCAAGUGGCUCGGUCUCUUGUGAGCAUGUGAUCUUGAUCCCUAGCUUAGCCUCGAAUUCCUUCAAGAAGUUCAACAUUACCUCUGGUUGGUAGUUAAUAGCCAAAACCACUUCAGUCACUCCAAUUUCCUUAAGUGCCUCAAUCUGAUGCAGGAUCAUAGGUUUGUUGGCAAAUUCAACAAGUGGUUUAGGUACACUGAGGGUCAAUGGCCUCAACCGAGUCCCAAACCCACCAACAAGAAUAAGCGCCUUCAUUGUGGAUGCCUGCUGCUUUUCCUCCAAUUUGGAAUAUUGUGUAAUAGGAAAAACAUCAAAUAGAACUCUGAUUGGCUCAUAAAAGGCCAAAAAACUCUAUGGAAGUGACCAUACACACACGAAAUUGCACUGAAGCAACUAAAACCGAAACAAAUCCCUCUAAAAAUACUGGAUCUAACAAAAAACUAUGAAGAUUCUUAUUAAUUAAUGAUAAAUUCCCUAAAGAGUAGGGGGAAAAACACAUAAAAUGACAAUUAAAAACAAAAGAAAUAACAAAAUGAAAAAGUAAAAAGUCAUAAUAUAGUUAAACAUUAUCCACAUUGUUGUAUUUAGCUGAAGAUCCAAAUGAAACCGACACCAAACGACACCGUUCACAUCUCGAUAAAAACAUAAUGGCACAAUCAAAACCGCAAUGUAAACCACAGAUCAAAUUAAUGCUCGUAAUUAUCACAUUAGCAAAAGUAACAGAACACAAGAUCAAUAAAUGAUUACCUUAACCAGAUCCAAUCAAAAAUCCGAAUCGAGUCCCAGAACCGGUGCCUGAACCAGAAUCCCGGGCGAUUCAGCGCGGCGGGAACUGAGCCGACUCGGCGCUUUGCUUUGGAGUCUGAAAUGCACCCAGAGCGUUGGUCAAGAGAAGGACGAUGACGGGUUACUUAUACAAAGGAGGAAGUAAAAAUCAUCAACUGCCGUGAACUUAGCGGAUUUGAAAUAAAAUAUUAAAUUUUAUUUUGAGAUAACUUUCCUUUCAAUUAAUUAAAGUAAGGGGUAGAAUUUAAAUUGAUAGAAGUUUCGAGGCAGUUUCAUAGUUUGGCAGAUUUU